rnacentral:lncRNA from 1 species
UAAAUUACUCUAAGAUACAAUUUAGAUAUUAUAACAUAUUUUUCAUAUACUGUAACAAGAUGAAUGCUAUAACCCAGGGUAUUGACCACACUGCUGAGCAUUCCAUGACAAUGACAUAUGGAUAACCCACUGAACCAAAAGAAAACAGCAAUGCAUAAGUUGUGAACCAUGCAUCUAGGCAAUAAGAUACACUAUUAUUUGUUUUCAACGGGAAACGCAGAAAGAACAGUUUACAAUCCCAUUCUUUUCAACUUUACAUCAAAC